UCUACAUUUUGUGAAUUGUUUAUCGUCUCUGGCGAGUUUAAGUUCGCCUAGUAUACUUUGUAUAAAAUUAUUGUCUAUAAAAGCUUUUUAUUUAAUAAAAAACAACUUUUAACAACGGAUCUCUAGGCUCUCGCAACGAUGAAGAACGCAGCGAAAUGCGAUAAGUAAUGUGAAUUGCAGAAUUCCGUGAAUCAUUAAAUCUUUGAACGCACAUUGCGCCCUCUGGUAUUCCUAAGGGCAUGCCUGUUCGAGAAUCAGUUUAACCAUCAAGUCUAUUGGGUAAAAUCAAUGGCACUUGGAUUUGAGGCCUCUGGAGUUAUCCAGAGUCUCUAAUAACAUUUGUUGCCUAGCUCGAAUGAGACUAUGUGAAAGGUAUGACCAUUGAACGAAAGUUCUUCGAUUGCUCCGAUCAUACGUUGAGUUUGUUUUAGUGCACAUUAAAUUUCACGAGGAGUAAAAUCCUUAAGACUUGAUCUCGAAUCAGACAAGACUACCCGCUGAACUUAAGCAUAUCAAUAAGCGGAGGAAAAGAAACUAACAAGGAUUCCCCUAGUAACGGCGAGUGAAGCGGGAGCAGCUCAAAUUUGAAAUCUCACGAGUUCCUCGUGCGAAUUGUAGUUUAAAGAAGUAUUUACGGAGCAAGCCCAGGCAUAAGUCCUUUGGAACAGGGCAUCAUAGAGGGUGAGAAUCCCGUAUAUGGUCUGGUGCUUGUUCUAUGUGUUAUACUUUCAAAGAGUCGGGUUGUUUGGGAAUGCAGCCCAAAAUGGGGGGUAGAUACCCUCUAAAGCUAAAUAUUGGCGAGAGACCGAUAGCGAACAAGUACCGUGAGGGAAAGAUGAAAAGGACUUUGAAAAGAGAGUUAAAUAGUACGUGAAAUUGUUAAAAGGGAAACACUUGAAACCAGUCUUGUCGGUAGAAUCCCAACUAGUCUAACGAUUAGCAUAUGUUUCUGCCGACAGGUCAACAUCGGUUUUGACUGGAGUACAAAGCUGGAGGAAGGUGAUCUUCGGAUGUUAUAGCCUCCAGUAAUGCUCUGGUUGAGACCGAGGACUGCAGCUCAGUCUUGGGGACCCGUUCGCCAGUUGAAUGCCUGCUUGGACAACUUUUUGAUCAAGCGGGAGCUAAGAUUGCUCGGGCGGUACACCACACCUGUG
rnacentral:rRNA from 1 species